rnacentral:rRNA from 1 species
CAGCCGCCACGGUAAUACAGAGGGUGCAAGCGUUAAUCGGAUUUACUGGGCGUAAAGCGUGCGUAGGCGGCUUCUUAAGUCGGAUGUGAAAUCCCUGAGCUUAACUUAGGAAUUGCAUUCGAUACUGGGAAGCUAGAGUAUGGGAGAGGAUGGUAGAAUUCCAGGUGUAGCGGUGAAAUGCGUAGAGAUCUGGAGGAAUACCGAUGGCGAAGGCAGCCAUCUGGCCUAAUACUGACGCUGAGGUACGAAAGCAUGGGGAGCAAACAGGAUUAGAUACCCGUGUAGUCCCUGUCUCUUAUAC